UUUAUUGAUUCCGCACUUGGGAAAAGCAUAUCAGAAGGCACUGGAGUGGUUUAUCACAAAAGAAACAUCAAGGUCACGCUGAGGUCAAAUAACAGCUCACUCCCAACUCAGUAAAAUGGAAACAUUUCAAAAGGGCAGUCAUAUUUAAUUUAGGCGAACGGAGAUGCGGGUUUUGACAAAGCGAUCCGGACCUUGGCGGCCUCUUUGCGAGGUUUGGAGGACGACAAGUGAUCAACUCUGUCAAAGGCCUGACCCAUACAAUUAUCUAAUUGCGCGUUAAAGUGCGGUGUACAGUUCAUCAGUUCGUCCGCGUGGAAUUCAAGGCGGACUAUUCCGCGCGCCGGCCAAUCCUGACAUGUCCUUGACAAGCCGGCAGGCGGAAGAAAUGCACUAAGGUAGGUGAGAUUCUCUCACACACACACACACACACACACACACACACACACACACACACACACACACACAACUUUGCACACGCAAUCCAAUUCAUAAUUCAAACGUUAAACCCCCCCACCCCCGCCUUAGCAAAAAUGCCAUCACCCUAAUCAAAUCGAGUGUCAACAUUCACUCCAGACCUGCCGGUCGGUCCCCAGCCGCCGGUCAGGCAUGCUUGGGUUGACUCGGGUUUGGCACUGGCUGAUUUCACCAGAAGAAGGAUGAGCGCAGAGGAAAAAAAGCAGGGAGCGUCCGUGAUGAAAAGGGAGAGCUCAUAAACGAGCGAGAGUGCAUUGAACUGGACUGACAGUAGAAACGACACACGCCGAGGACAGAAAGCAGCAGCCUCCCUCGCGGCGCAUCUGAGACGGAGCUGCAGAAGCGCCACUGGUCUGUGGGCAGCCUGGCACGAGGCAGGCAAUUACAACACCUAAUUGCUUUUACUCGGACAACGGACUUUGUCAUGGUAUUCGAGAACACGUGGCUCGCGUCGUUUGUCUUCAUUUCACAGGCGCAUGCUGCAAAUACGGCAGUCGUUUGACAAGAACCAUGUUCCGUUAGUGUGCAGCUCUUAAGAUGGUGAGCGUUGCUCCUUAACCCUGGCUCAUUAGUUUCAAUUCACGUCCACCUCUAUUUAAGUUUCGCCUAAAAAGGAAAUCAUUAAAAGCGUAUCAAGUUUGCGAUUAGAAAUGGUGCGGAAGCACAAAACGUCGUUAGUCAUCGGGACACGCAGCGGUUCAGUAGUCCUUUUUAACUGUUCCGUCUUAACACAUUUCAUCACAGCAAUAAAAGAAAAGAAACAAAGAAGAGCAACUCUGAGGUUUUGGUUGAAAUGCACCAGUGGCAGCUCACCCAGUUGGCAAUUCAGCACUCAUUUGUUUGAGGUGAGCUGCCAGCCCAGUUUCCUGUCUGAACUCAUCCUCGAGCGUGGACUGCGAUGCUACAUGGUACUGAAUAAAAUAAUAUUAAUGACAAUGAAUAUCAAUGAUUAAAAUCCAGAAUAAAAAACAAAACAGUACAACACUGUGUUACAGGAGGGAUAUCAACACAACAGUUCAUUUAAAAAAGAAAUGUAAACAGUCUCGUCCUUCCGAGGCGAGUGUGACAACUCGGGUUGUUCCUCUCAGUCUUGAUCCCGAGCGGCUUCCCAAACGAGCUGGGCUGAAAUUUCAGCGCCGAGCCCAAAGCCGUCCGAGCGGCUCACCCGUCAGACUCGCGGCGUGACCGCGGCGAUCCGCUUUCGUCACCUGCUGUGAGCAAAGAAGCGCGUGCCGCCGCCGCGUUCGGUCAUCCCGGGGGCUGCAGGGCUCGUUGUGUGUAACUCGAGAGCGCGUCCCAAUUUCUCCACAAGAAGGCCGUGAGGAUGACGAGCAGGAGGGUGGAGAGGGAGCGCGAGCGCGUCCUCAUCAGAGGGACCACGCAGUUGGCCACGGUCGACACGAAGACCAGAAGGACGGCCAUGAGGGCCAGCAGCACGUUGAUCAGUUUGCCCAGCAGCGUCCUGGCCGUGGCAUUUUCCAGCCCCUCCAACUGGACCACCUGCUGUUGCUGCUGCUGGAGCUCCAUCUUGGAAAUUCGGGUCUGACACGCCUCCAGCGCCUCCUACGGAAGACAUUUACAAACGGGUCAACACCAAUCAUUCUCGUAGUCAACAACAUCGAACAAUUCCCUGAAAUGAGGCCAGAGGUCUGGAACAUCUUGGUUCUCCGAAUCCAUUGACGCUUCCUAGUGGACGUUCCUCCAUGUUGCUGCUGUCCCUGAUUUUUUUCUGCCUCGUAAGACUCGAAGAAUUCAAAAUCAAUCAAGAUCUCAACUGUGGUUCUAUUCACAUCUUUUUAUGCUUUGACAUCAUUCGCCAGCGUUGGAAAAAACAAAACGAGUUCAUUCUGAGUAGAAAGUACAGAUAACCAUUCUCAAAAGUACACUGAAAAAAAAGUCCUUAGUUUGAUCAUGUACAAAUGUGGUAAACCGACAAAUUUUUCAACCUCUUCUCGAAAAGGAUAAAAAUCACGUGCAACUGAUGUAACAUGUUCAAAUUAAGGUAAUUCAAAAGGACUUUUUUUUCACCUGUGAGCAGCAAAAGUAUGAAGCUGUCGGAACGAUAAAUACUCAAGUACCUGAAAAAUCUCCUUAAGUACCACUUGAGUUACAUCCCACCACUGUUGAACACACAGAUCAAUGACAGUUCAGGCCACAACACAAAUGUGCACCGGGCACAGACCGUGGGCACCCCCUACUGCUAAGGAAAGGAAAUGCCGCGAAGGGGCAACUUAAGCACAAAUACGGGCCAGGGGAAAUAGGAGUCAUCUGCAAAGAAUGCUUCAAAACACACAAUUUGGUACGAUGACAUUCUUUUUGGUGUCAUCUUCCUGUUUCAAAUGUCAACAUGGCGUGCGUGACUGACAAUGUGAGGGUGCCGAUGACAACACACCGCCGUAACUACGGAUGCAAAACUAGCCAUCCUUUCACACGCGCACACAUUCUCUAUAGCAUCAGUGACACAGUAACACGAACACAAAAUGUUCUAUGGAUUAAUAACAACCAUAAAUCAUUUUGUUUGAACCUUGAGACCUUGACGGCCAUAAAUAAACCGCUUUAUUGCAGUGUUCCAAUUUCAUAUUGUCAAGUAAGCGUUUUGGUCAACCCAUCCAAGCGUCCCACUUUGGCUUGACGGACCAACCUGAAUGUCUCGCGCCCUCUCGUAGGACUGGUAGGCGAUCUUCUCCUCCAUGCUGGCCAGCUCCUGUUUGAGGUUCAGGAUCUCAUUCUGGUGAAGUUCUGUCAGGUCGUUAAGCUGCUCCUCCAGGCGUUCACACCUGAACGCACACGCACGGAAUGAGCUUAAAGACCCACACGUUAAGAGUCGGUAGAAGCGAACGCAGCAUUGUCCUAACAGAACUUCGACUGCAAUUGCUAAACUCUAGCACAAUAACCCCAGAAGCAGUGUGCACUGUGCACUCAUGUGACACACGAUGGCACCAUUUGUGUGACCUCACUUCCAGUAUAUAAAAUGGUUUGAGAAAGUGGAUGAGUCGUACCUUUAAAGUGCAUUCUUUUUCUCGAUAUGGUGCGGUUCUACUGAUCAAUACAAUUUUCUGUCAGUGUUGUCUGUACCGUGAAACGUGUCUUGAUCUCUGAGCAUGCUUGUCAGAGCGUCCCAGAGGAAUGUGUUUUUUAGGCUGGCUCUCACACACUCACACACACACACACACACACACACACGCAGACAAUGCCAAACAAAAACGAAUUUCAGACAGACAAAGGCUCAAAUAACCUUCUCAAGGUGGGACACUUUAAAAGACUCUUCCUGUACUUUUCUUGCGUGAUGCACAUUUCCCCAUUGUGUCCCAUCGAAGGAUUGCCACAGCAAGUCACUCCGGCAUUUGUUUAACAUUUGUUUGUUUUAACGUGGGAUGCCCGUCCUGACGAGGACCCUCGUUUUUUUUCAAAACGUGCUUGGGACCAGCAGUGGCUGGGAAUUGAACCCAAGCCACGUGCACAAAAGACAGCAACUUUGUACCACAACACUACUCGUGCGUGUAAACAGAGAGCCAUGGCUAACGACAGGUUUAAGUCAAAUGCUCAGCCUAAUGAGUGAAGUCAGGGGACUUAAUGAGUCAUUGUUUAUGAGGCCUACAAAGACAACCAUCUUUCUACAUAUCGCUGGCAAUAAGUGGAAGACUUAGAAGAAGGUCAAAGUUUUGCUUUAUCGUAUACAAUGAUAAACGACUCCGACAGAACACAGGCGGGCCCAGCGUGGCCUGUGAUAAAUCAGCACAUAUCUACGAAUUAUCAGCAUCGGUGAGAAGGAUUACCUUCCAAAGUUUGGAGGUUUGUGCCGAUUACCUAAUGUGGAGGCUUUUCAACUAACUUUGAAUUUUCAUGGCCACUUUUGCAUCUGCUGGCUUACCUGAAGCGUUCCUCCUGCAGCGUCUGCAUCACCACCGUGUAGUCUCGCUGGUAGUGGUUCUUCAAGCCCUCCAGACUCUCCUCGAGCCUGGCCUGGCCCUCCCUCAGCUCCUGGACCUCCUGAAACAACAUGUCCAGGCUGGAGGUGCCAGUCCUCUCCAGUGUGUUCCCCUUAGAGCUGGGCGGACCCCCGGGCGCCCCCGUGGUGCUAUUGGCCCCCACCGAGCCCGACGUGGCACUCGAGCAGUCGUCCUCGCUCCCGUACUUCGGACUGGACUGGAGGUGAUGGCCGGCGCUGCCCAGCGAACGAGCCCCUACCGCGCCUUCUUCCCCCGAGGGGUCGUCCAGCGAGUCUUUGAGGGCGGGGAUGUUGUCGGCGCUGCCAAACUUGUUUCGGAUCAGCGAGGCGAUCUCCCGCGGUUUGGAGACGACGGCCCCGGCGGCCGAGUGCGUGGCUUGGGAGAAGCUGGACAGCCCUCCCUUCACGCUGUCCACCACCCCCUCGCUGAAGCCCGUCACUUUGGCACCCACGUCCUUUAAGCCCUGUUGCAUGUCCCGGAGAACAUCCUUAGGUUGCCGAGGGAUACCGUUGUGCUCCACUUCCCGCAGCUUUCGGUGGUAGUGAUCCAGUUUCCUCUGCAGCUGCUGGAUGGUCUGCGCUGACUUCUGGUUCUUUUUCUCAAAAACCUGCCAGCGACAAGAAUAUUGCAUUUCAAAAGUACACUACUCACAAAGAAGUAAGGCGGGCUAAAAAUGGCCUAAAAUGAACUAUAACCUUCACAAGUGAACUUAAAUUGGCCUUCUCUAAACUUUUGAAUGUAUAUGUCCACCUGUUCAACAGCAAAGUUCACAACAGGUGUCCUCGUAGGACUCUUCACCACGCUGUUCAGGUUUUGAUGAAACCGAAAUAUGUGAUGAAAGGGCCGUCCCCAUUCCAAGGCUUCAACCCGGAUGUUAUUGGAGGGAAAUGGCCACUGAGCUUGAGUGUCAUCAGUUAAUUGCGAGAGAGAGACUGGGAGAGUCACAGAAAGGCUUGACAGUUUUAGGUACUCCGCAACAUUGUCGUCCCGGGCUGUCUGCUCGAUCUUGAUUUGUUCUGUGAGCUUGAGGAUCUUCUGCUGCAGCUGGGCGAUGGCGUGCUUUGUGCGCUGAGGAUCCAAAGGCGCGUCGUCCGCUGCGGAGUACGGAGAGUCGACCGCAGGGGGAGUUGGGCCCAACCCGCUCACCUCCGACCGCUCGAUCUGUGGCCACGAGACAGCAAGUGAGAGACUCAGAAGAGGCUUCUGCUUUUCUGCAAAAAGUCAUCUGGAAAGUGAGAAGUGGAGGAGGCUACUUGCGGUCAAUCUUUGGAAAGUCUCAUGAACAUUUCUAUUUUGCAUUUUGACCUUUACAAUGUAAAGAACGAAGUAAAAAGAACUAAAAUAUUGUAAAAAAAAAAAAAAAAAUCAAAUAAAAAAAAAGCUGGUACAGUUGAACAACCACAGGACGCCAAAAGCAUGACCUUAUCCCGUUUCUAUCUCUUUGUGGCAAGUGACGACAUUAUUUACAGCAGUUCAAAUCCAGCGCACGGGUAGCUCCAACAUGGUUAUCUUCCAAGGUAAGUUUAUCAGCCUGCUUUCUCCAGUGUCAAGCCACAAGGAGCCUCGCCCACCUGUCGGACAUCGACUGCUGCAAUCUGCUGCCGGCGGACGAGCCGGCCGGUCAUCAGCUGGCGGCCAAUGCUAGCCUCUCCCACC